rnacentral:rRNA from 1 species
CGGGCCGCGUGCUUACCAUGCAAGUCGAACGGAGAUUCAGCAAUGGAUCUUAGUGGCGAACGGGUGAGUAACGCGUAGGCAAUCUGCCUUCUAGAUGGGGACAACAUCCCGAAAGGGGUGCUAAUACCGAAUGUUGUAAUUGGUUCGCAUGGACUAGCUACUAAAGGUGGCCUCUGAAUAUGCUACCGCUAGAAGAUGAGCCUGCGUCUGAUUAGCUAGUUGGAGGGGUAACGGCCCACCAAGGCUUCGAUCAGUAGCCGGUCUGAGAGGAUGAACGGCCACACUGGGACUGAGACACGGCCCAGACUCCUACGGGAGGCAGCAGUGGGGAAUCUUCCGCAAUGGACGAAAGUCUGACGGAGCAACGCCGCGUGAGUGAAGAAGGUUUUCGGAUCGUAAAGCUCUUUCGUUAGGGACGAACGUGCUCUUUGUGAAUAAUGAGGAGUAAUGACGGUACCUAAAUAAGAAGCCACGGCUAACUACGUGCCAGCAGCCGCGGUAAUACGUAGGUGGCAAGCGUUGUCCGGAAUUAUUGGGCGUAAAGCGCGCGCAGGCGGGAUAUCAAGUCUGUCUUAAAAGUGCGAGGCUCAACCUCGUGAGGGGACGGAAACUGGUAUUCUUGAGUGUCGGAGAGGAAAGUGGAAUUCCAAGUGUAGCGGUGAAAUGCGUAGAGAUUUGGAAGAACACCAGUGGCGAAGGCGACUUUCUGGACGAUGUCUGACGCUGAGGCGCGAAAGCUAGGGGAGCGAACGGGAUUAGAUACCCCGGUAGUCCUAGCCGUAAACGAUGGGUACUAGGUGUAGGGGGUAUCGACCCCUCC